CCUACGGGAGGCAGCAGUGGGGAAUAUUGCACAAUGGGGGAAACCCUGAUGCAGCAACGCCGCGUGAGUGAGGAAGUAUUUCGGUAUGUAAAGCUCUAUCAGCAGGGAAUAGAAAAGAAGGUACCUGAAAAAGAAGCCCCGGCUAACUACGUGCCAGCAGCCGCGGUAAUACGUAGGGGGCAAGCGUUAUCCGGAUUUACUGGGUGUAAAGGGAGCGUAGACGGAAAGGCAAGUCAGAAGUGAAAGCCCGGGGCUCAACUCCGGGACUGCUUUUGAAACUGUAUGGCUAGAUUGCAGGAGAGGCAAGUGGAAUUCCUAGUGUAGCGGUGAAAUGCGUAGAUAUUAGGAGGAACACCAGUGGCGAAGGCGGCUUGCUGGACUGUAAAUGACGCUGAGGCUCGAAAGCGUGGGGAGCAAACAGGAUUAGAUACCCCGGUAGUC
rnacentral:rRNA from 1 species